ACAGACGGACGCGCGAUCGCUUCACUUUCAGUUUUUGUGAAGAGGAAAGUCCGAACUUUACCCGCAGUUUUUUCAGGCGGAAAACGGUAGCAGGCAAUUCCUGCAGCGCGCAAGCGCAGAGGUGCGAGCAGAGACGCCAGAGCCGGAAACGGCUCGGUAUCCUUGAAAAAGGAUAAGCUUUUACGGUAACGUAAAAGGUGAAACGGCUAAAUCCUUACCGGAAAGCAAGGCUGAAGUAUGGCCGCUUGACCGUUAAAAGCGAUUUUAACGGCAGAGAAAUGAUCGCGCUUUUAAAAAGCUUGCUUUUUAAAAGACAGAAUUCGGUGUACGUUCCGUCUGUAUGA
rnacentral:RNase_P_RNA from 1 species